AUUUAAAUAGUUUAAUAAAAAUAUUGAUUUGUGGAAUCAAAGAUAUGGACAUCAUUUUAGAUA
rnacentral:tRNA from 1 species